GUUGGAACAGAUUUCCAUCAGGUAAAUAUACCUUAGUAUGUCGACUCCUUUGUGGCAAAUGCACGGUUCUCCGACUUUUUGAAAAUUGGCCUCAGAAUAAAGAGCUUUCGCUCAAACAGCUUAAAGAAAAAUUAGUUAUGUUGUUUUGUCUCAUCUCCUGUAAACAUGUCUCGGAUGUUGGUGCUCUGGAUAUUACGGCACGUUCAUUUACUCCAACAGGCGUUUCAUUUGACAUUUCAAGACGCACGAAGCCGUCCAUUACUUCGGUCUUUUAUUCAGCUUUUCCACAUAACAUCAACCUAUGCCCAGUGGCCUGCCUCAAGGAAUAUGAAGAGAGGACCGCUUCAAUAUGUGAUCCUAUAUAUCUGUUUCUAGCAUUUUGACGUCCAUAUCAACUAGUUUCUACAGUCACCUUAUCUCUUUGGGUGAAUAUCAUUGGUGGACAUCGAUACUUCUGCAUACAGUGC